rnacentral:rRNA from 1 species
GUGGAAGCGUCUGGAAAGGCGCGCGAUACAGGGUGACAGCCCCGUACACAAAAAUGCACAUGCUGUGAGCUCGAUGAGUAGGGCGGGACACGUGGUAUCCUGUCUGAAUAUGGGGGGACCAUCCUCCAAGGCUAAAUACUCCUGACUGACCGAUAGUGAACCAGUACCGUGAGGGAAAGGCGAAAAGAACCCCGGCGAGGGGAGUGAAAAAGAACCUGAAACCGUGUACGUACAAGCAGUGGGAGCCUCUUAAUGGGGUGACUGCGUACCUUUUGUAUAAUGGGUCAGCGACUUAUAUUCUGUAGCAAGGUUAACCGAAUAGGGGAGCCGAAGGGAAACCGAGUCUUAACUGGGCGUUAAGUUGCAGGGUAUAGACCCGAAACCCGGUGAUCUAGCCAUGGGCAGGUUGAAGGUUGGGUAACACUAACUGGAGGACCGAACCGACUAAUGUUGAAAAAUUAGCGGAUGACUUGUGGCUGGGGGGGAAAGGCCAAUCAAACCGGGAGAUAGCUGGUUCUCCCCGAAAGCUAUUUAGGUAGCGCCUCGUGAAUUCAUCUCCGGGGGUAGAGCACUGUUUCGGCAAGGGGGUCAUCCCGACUUACCAACCCGAUGCAAACUGCGAAUACCGGAGAAUGUUAUCACGGGAGACACACGGCGGGUGCUAACGUCCGUCGUGAAGAGGGAAACAACCCAGACCGCCAGCUAAGGUCCCAAAGUCAUGGUUAAGUGGGAAACGAUGUGGGAAGGCCCAGACAGCCAGGAUGUUGGCUUAGAAGCAGCCAUCAUUUAAAGAAAGCGUAAUAGCUCACUGGUCGAGUCGGCCUGCGCGGAAGAUGUAACGGGGCUAAACCAUGCACCGAAGCUGCGGCAGCGACGCUUAUGCGUUGUUGGGUAGGGGAGCGUUCUGUAAGCCUGCGAAGGUGUACUGUGAGGUAUGCUGGAGGUAUCAGAAGUGCGAAUGCUGACAUAAGUAACGAUAAAGCGGGUGAAAAGCCCGCUCGCCGGAAGACCAAGGGUUCCUGUCCAACGUUAAUCGGGGCAGGGUGAGUCGACCCCUAAGGCGAGGCCGAAAGGCGUAGUCGAUGGGAAACAGGUUAAUAUUCCUGUACUUGGUGUUACUGCGAAGGGGGGACGGAGAAGGCUAUGUUGGCCGGGCGACGGUUGUCCCGGUUUAAGCGUGUAGGCUGGUUUUCCAGGCAAAUCCGGAAAAUCAAGGCUGAGGCGUGAUGACGAGGCACUACGGUGCUGAAGCAACAAAUGCCCUGCUUCCAGGAAAAGCCUCUAAGCAUCAGGUAACAUCAAAUCGUACCCCAAACCGACACAGGUGGUCAGGUAGAAAAUACCAAGGCGCUUGAGAGAACUCGGGUGAAGGAACUAGGCAAAAUGGUGCCGUAACUUCGGGAGAAGGCACGCUGAUAUGUAGGUGAAGUCCCUCGCGGAUGGAGCUGAAAUCAGUCGAAGAUACCAGCUGGCUGCAACUGUUUAUUAAAAACACAGCACUGUGCAAACACGAAAGUGGACGUAUACGGUGUGACGCCUGCCCGGUGCCGGAAGGUUAAUUGAUGGGGUUAGCGGUAACGCGAAGCUCUUGAUCGAAGCCCCGGUAAACGGCGGCCGUAACUAUAACGGUCCUAAGGUAGCGAAAUUCCUUGUCGGGUAAGUUCCGACCUGCACGAAUGGCGUAAUGAUGGCCAGGCUGUCUCCACCCGAGACUCAGUGAAAUUGAACUCGCUGUGAAGAUGCAGUGUACCCGCGGCAAGACGGAAAGACCCCGUGAACCUUUACUAUAGCUUGACACUGAACAUUGAGCCUUGAUGUGUAGGAUAGGUGGGAGGCUUUGAAGUGUGGACGCCAGUCUGCAUGGAGCCGACCUUGAAAUACCACCCUUUAAUGUUUGAUGUUCUAACGUUGGCCCCUGAUCGGGGUUGCGGACAGUGUCUGGUGGGUAGUUUGACUGGGGCGGUCUCCUCCUAAAGAGUAACGGAGGAGCACGAAGGUUGGCUAAUCCUGGUCGGACAUCAGGAGGUUAGUGCAAUGGCAUAAGCCAGCUUGACUGCGAGCGUGACGGCGCGAGCAGGUGCGAAAGCAGGUCAUAGUGAUCCGGUGGUUCUGAAUGGAAGGGCCAUCGCUCAACGGAUAAAAGGUACUCCGGGGAUAACAGGCUGAUACCGCCCAAGAGUUCAUAUCGACGGCGGUGUUUGGCACCUCGAUGUCGGCUCAUCACAUCCUGGGGCUGAAGUAGGUCCCAAGGGUAUGGCUGUUCGCCAUUUAAAGUGGUACGCGAGCUGGGUUUAGAACGUCGUGAGACAGUUCGGUCCCUAUCUGCCGUGGGCGCUGGAGAACUGAGGGGGGCUGCUCCUAGUACGAGAGGACCGGAGUGGACGCAUCACUGGUGUUCGGGUUGUCAUGCCAAUGGCACUGCCCGGUAGCUAAAUGCGGAAGAGAUAAGUGCUGAAAGCAUCUAAGCACGAAACUUGCCCCGAGAUGAGUUCUCCCUGACUCCCUGAGAGUCCUGAAGGAACGUUGAAGACGACGACGUUGAUAGGCCGGGUGUGUAAGCGCAGCGAUGCGUUGAGCUAACCGGUACUAAUGAACCGUGAGGCUUAACCUU